UCUGAGGUAUGGCUGGGGUACAGCCUCGAAGCCAGAGAGCAGGAAGGAGCGAGGGAGGACAGGACAUGGAGACAGAAGGAAAAACAAGAAAGUGAAGGAGAUGUAGGAAGUGACACACAGGAGCCUGGGACGGGUGCCCUGGCUUCUGUCCUCAGAGCCAGCUGUUCAGGGGCAGAGAAGGUGACAGCUGUCCCGUGGAGAGAGAAGCCGAGAUCCACAGUGAAUCCUGAGGCUGAGGGUGGGAGGUCACUGGCUUCCGGCCAAGGAGCUCCUGGCAGGCAUCUCCUCAGGGUGGACAGAGCUGCACUCACCACCAAGGAUGCUGUCAUGGAGUUGGCGAGCAACGGGUCUAGCUCCACUGAUGGCUCCCCUACUGAGGAAAUGAGUUGAUCUAAAGAAGAGAGUGACCUGGGAUGCACUUGGGGAAACUGUGUGAUUGCAUUUGAAGGAGAGCUGUGAGUUCUGAGGACACCCUCCAGGAAGAGUUGGUGCUAUCGUCAUGCUGAUCAGCAUUAAAUGCUGGCUCGCUCUUUCUCACCAGACCUCAAUGCACUCCGCCCCACAGCCUUAACUGUGGAGGAGUCUAAAACUGUUCAACGCUGCAUCUGUCAGGCUCUGCUCAACACUGACUUCAUCCACCAACCCCACCUGGAUCUCCAUUCUUUUGGAAUUGCCCCCAGAGUCUGCUCAGCAUUCUUGAAAAUGUUCUUCAAAGGUUGCUAGUUCUCAUCGUUGGAGGGUUGAUCUGAUAUUUAGAAGCAUUUUAAAGCCAUUUGAGGCCAAUCCCAGGGAAUUAGGUGUAAACUAUUAAGUACAAAAAGAAAAUGAAUUCCAGUUUCUCUUUUAAAACUGUAUUCUCG